CACUCUAGAGAGACUGCCAGGGAUAACCUGGAGGAAGGUGGGGAUGACGUCAAAUCAUCAUGCCCCUUAUGCUUAGGGCUACACACGUGCUACAAUGGGUAGUACAGAGGGUUGCCAAGCCGUAAGGUGGAGCUAAUCCCUUAAAGCUACUCUCAGUUCGGAUUGUAGGCUGAAACUCGCCUACAUGAAGCUGGAGUUACUAGUAAUCGCAGAUCAGAAUGCUGCGGUGAAUGCGUUCCCGGGUCUUGUACACACCGCCCGUCACACCACGGGAGUUGGAGACGCCCGAAGCCGACUAUCUAACCUUUUGGAAGAAGUCGUCGAAGGUGGAAUCAAUAACUGGGGUGAAGUCGUAACAAGGUAGCCGUAUCGGAAGGUGCGGCUGGAUCACCUCCUUUCUAAGGAGA
rnacentral:rRNA from 1 species